rnacentral:rRNA from 1 species
AACGAACGCUGGCGGCGCGCUUAACACAUGCAAGUCGAACGGGAAGCUGUAGCAAUACAGUUGUAAAGUGGCAAACGGGUGAGUAAUGCGUGGGUAAUCUACCCUAGGGUGGGGAAUAACUCCUCGAAAGGGGAGCUAAUGCCGACAUGUGCGCCACUCUCGCAAGGGAGUGAUGGAAAGCCGUACCGUGGGUGCGGCGCCCAAGGAUGAGCUCACGUCCUAUCAGCUUGNGGCGGGGUAACGGCCCACCAAGGCUGCGACGGGUAGCUGGUCUGAGAGGAUGAUCAGCCACACUGGGACUGAGACACGGCCCAGACUCCUACGGGAGGCAGCAGUGGGGAAUAUUGGACAAUGGGGGCAACCCUGAUCCAGCAAUGCCGCGUGAGUGAUGAAGGCCUUAGGGUUGUAAAGCUCUUUCGCCCGCGACGAUGAUGACGGUAGCGGGAGAAGAA